GUGAAGGCACAGCACGCACGCAGUUUCCUCCUAAUCCUGGAGAUUGAUUUUGAUUUUUCAAUAAAACAGGUGUCAUAUAAACCCGGCGCGUGGAGCGUUCACCCCACGGCGAGAACCCCCGGUUUAACAGAGGCGCUUCGUUCCCGGGGGCUCUCAUCAUCUGUUUGUAGCCGUCUAUCGUUUGGUGAUCGCGUCGUAUCAUUUCGACGCCACUGUCACGCUCCUGCCUGACGUCUCUCUCUCUCUCCACCUGUGUUCGGGAUGAGAGGAACCCAGCGACAGCUACAGUACAGUCAAACUAACCAGGUAACCGCGUCUGAAGCGUUGGCUUCUGUCAGUGUCACACUGCGCUGUAUAAGGCACGUCUCCAGACAUGGAUGCGGGAACGCAACGUGGAGACAAGGCAGCCAAUUAGAGCCCAGAGCAGGGAGCCGGUGUGUAACUCGGCUAUCCAGGUGGGACUCGGGCGUGUGGUUCAAGAAAAAUGAGCUAUUUUUAGCAGCAUAUCCCAAUUUUUUUACAGCUGUUACUUGACAUCUGGACUCUGGCAUUCAUUAACAUUAUGCAUGUGCGCAUACCCAGUGGCUGGUACCUGUCACUGUUAAAGCUGGAAAUUAAAAGCUGAAAGUGGUCUGUAGCUCCACUCCUUCUUCAUCCCUGUCCAUCCUCUGCCUCCAUUCAGCCCACUGCAACUUUCUUCUUUCCUGUUCAGUUCCUCUGUUCUUGUCUCGCCCGCCUCCCCGCUGGUACUUUCAGUCCUUCCCCUGCUCAUGUGUGUCAUGUCUGGGCGCCGACACACCAGCACACAUACGGUGUCGCAUCAGAAUUUCUUAUUCAUUUGAACUCCACACUAAAACCCGUCUGCCUCUUGCUACUGGCUCCCCAUCUCUGCCUGGUUACUUGCCUGGCAAGUGAUGCUGGUUGCCAUAGUAACCCUGUGUAACUGUAUAAGAAGGGACUUUCCUGCAAACCAGGAAGGAUGCUGAGCAAGGGGAAUCACAAAACAACACGCGCCGGCAUUUGUGAGACUGUUGAUUAGCAAUCGGCGUUCCUUUACACCGACUGUUUAUUUUCACUGGGUUCAGAGAAAAGCGUUAAUUGGGUGAUACCAGCAGGAAGAAUGUCACAAAUUGGAUUUUCAGUUCUAAUUGAUUUUGAGGCUUGCUACGUAUUCACACUGAAAUAUGACGAUGAUCCUGAAUGGCAGAUUAAUUCGUUUUUGAACAAUAAGCAGUUUUAAGCAGUAGCAGGUUGGACCAUGUGUUCAGGACUCCGCGUGUUCCUACAUACAGUACAUUUUAAAUAUCUGUAAUUUGACUAACAAACCAUGCUUGAAUACAAUAAAUGGUGUGUUUUUAGCGUUUUGUGCA
rnacentral:lncRNA from 1 species